GAAAAAUCAUAAUUAUAGCACAGCGAGAGCUGCUGUUUGUAUUAUGAGGAUUAGGUCACUUAUCCAUACAAGCAGCAGUGAAGGCUUGAUGGGAACUGUCAGUCCUGCAAUAAAAAUAAAGAUAUGAGCAACAGGUGCACUAACCCCUCACAGCACCAUAACUUGACAACCCUACCUAGACAGGUUUUCCUUAGUGUUAGCAAUGUCUGCACAAAGGAGAUGUCGGACAGCUGCUCGAAGAUCUCGCCUUUGGAGAAGACUGUUUAUACUCAAAAAAUGCGGUGAUCCCCACAUCCUACUGCCACCUGAACACAGCUGUGCCAAUUCUGCAGCUUUAUUUUGAUGAAGCAGCUGACCACCGUGAACACCUUCACCUGUCUUUGUCAUCCAUCAUGUCCCUCACUGCUGCUCUUCUCAAUGGGGACAUCGUUGACCCAGAGGAUGAGGAAGACCAUGAUGAUGGACCCCUGAACCCCACAACCUUGAAGCAAGAGUGGGACAUGAUGUGCGGGACAAUCAGGCUGCUGCUGUUUCUGCUCCAAACAUUUGUGUGCUCUCCAUCAGCAUGACUAAAUAAACAGAUUAAAACAUUUUACAAUUCA